CAGCCAGCCCUAUUCCACCAGGCUCUCUCACCCCUGCUCUCAUUGUCUCUCUUGCACCGAACAUAAUUCUCCCUGGGAUCCUCCCCACAACUUUCCCGUGCGUCCCCCUGCGUACAGCCAGGACUGCUGCUUCUCCAGGUGCAGCCUCUGCUAGCUGGGCUGGCCGGGGGGCUUUCUGCCCCGGUGGGGAGGAAGGCAGAGGGCGGAUCCCGCUGUUCCGCAAGAGGAGCGGAGCUGGGCUGAGCUGAGCUGGAGCGCUGUCAGCUGAUGCAGAAGGGUCCUCUAGCCUCUUCCCCCCUCUCCUGAGUGGAUUAAAACUCUGGCCGCUGAGUUUCUGGGUCAGGAGGAUUAUUCCAAGUGAUGUGAAUCAUUUCAGCUACCGACUGGAUUCACCUUGGGCGAGCGGCUCCUCCCCCAACAAAGGAUGGCUGCCAAUUUUAAUGACAUAGUGAAGCAAGGGUAUGUAAAGAUUAGGAGCAGACGUUUAGGUAUUUAUCAGAGAUGCUGGUUAGUUUUCAAGAAAGCUUCAAGCAAAGGGCCAAAACGACUGGAGAAGUUUUCAGAUGAGCGUGCUGCCUAUUUUAAGUGCUAUCACAAGGUCACGGAACUCAAUAAUGUGAAGAAUAUAUUACGACUGCCAAAAAACACGAAGAAACAUGCUGUAGGCAUUUAUUUUAAUGAUGACACAUCCAAAACCUUUGCUUGUGAAUCAGAUUUUCUGGGCAUUUAUACAGAACUCGAGGCGGAUGAGUGGUGCAAAGUGCUGCAGAUGGAAUGCCUAGGAACUCAGAUUAAUGACAUAAGCCUUGGAGAGCCUGACUUGUUGGCAUCUGGUGUAGAAAGGGAGCAGAGUGAGCGAUUCAAUGUGUAUUUAAUGCCAUCCCCUAAUUUAGAGGUGCAUGGGGAAUGUACCUUGCAGAUAACAUUUGAGCAUAUCUGUCUUUGGGAUAUCCAGAAUCCCAGAGUAAAACUCAUCUCUUGGCCAUUAAGUUCCCUCCGGCGGUAUGGACGAGACCCAGCUUGGUUUACAUUUGAAGCAGGGAGGAUGUGUGACACUGGGGAAGGACUAUUCAUCUUUCAGACAAGAGAUGGGGAGGCGAUCUAUCAGAAGGUUCACUCAGCUGCUUUGGCCAUCGCAGAACAACAUGAGCGCUUAUUACAGAGUGUGAAAAAUUCAGUGAAAACAUUUAAAAAACAUUGGAAACCCCAGUAGAAAUACGUGUUUUAUUCGCAAUGGACAGAUAAUAUUGGAGAAGUAUUGUAGGAAUUAGACCAAGUUCUAUUCUCAGUCACACUAGUGCAUUCCUACUGAAGGAGGACUCAAGGAUACUCUCCUUGUUUAGGAGAAGGAUUUAAGAUGUGGAGACAUUCAUCCAUAGAAAUUUCAGGGAGAGCCAGAAUGGAGUCACUAACAUGGCACAGAAUUCCAUGGUUGACUGAAACACCACGCAAUAACGUCCCAUCAUACUGCAUUGUUUUACAAAAUAGCGUUUGGCUUGCCUCCAAUGGUACAAUGCCACAACUGACUCCUGAGUGCCUCUAAAUUGCUUUUUCUGUUAACGUAUAUGCAGCAGAAGAACAUUAUCAACAGAAUACACCAUCCAGGUUGCCAGUGAACCUCAGUAUACAUCGAAAACCCAGCUAAUGGUCACUGUACCAUGAUCAUCCAUCCAAAUAGCCAGUAAAAUGUCAGCCUUUGUGAGAAUGCCUCCACACUGCAUUAUGCAGUCAUCAGUUACUAUGGUCAGAAAAAAUCCAGUCCCUUUCAUUGCCUUUAAGAGGAGAUUUCACCAUAAUUAAGGUAUAAGGAAAAUGAAGAAGAAGCCACAACUAAAAGUGCACAUAAGUAGGGCUGAGCAUAAAUGUUGGUCUUGAUGGAAGAGGAUGCAUUAAUGUGCAGUAUUUUUGUGCUAGUGCAGGGUUCACCAGCAAGCCAUCACAAGUGUUACAGUGUAUUCUCUGAAAAGAUGGUGUCCCAUCAGGGAGAACGGCAGUAUCUUUUGGAUGGGAUGUGACUUGAAGGGCCCCGAUAGCCUUUAACCAAUGACAUGAGUGGAAAUAUCUAAGCUGCACUCCCCACAUGAUCCCAAGCACAAUGUCCACACCUUACAGAAAGGAGGUUGUAGGCAAAUGGGUUCUGCUACAUAACUUCAACCCUGACCUGAAGAAGAGCUCUGUGUAAGCUUGAAAGCGUGUCUCUCUCACGAACAAAACUUCAAAUGAAAAUGAGCGAGCGAGCCGUCUCCCUCAACACCAUAGUGCCCUUGCCUCGGAGUGCCUAUUGGCAGCACAUUACACGGCA